CUUCACGGAGCCGAGCAGCAGCGGCCGCUCCGGGUCGCGGUCCCGGCCGUAGGUCCCGAACAGCGCCUGCGCCUC
rnacentral:antisense_RNA from 2 species